CCCAAGUUCUUGCUACAGAGAUGACGUAUUAAGGGAUGGCAACGGCCAAAACUCAUACACCCCAGAUCCCGCCACAUCUAAAACUGGUGGCACUACACCUUGCACUAAACCUCAUCAAGAAGCUUGCAGGGACGACCAUGCACGUACUACUACUUGCUCAGAUCAUAUACCACCCUCUUCUAGUUUGCCUGACAGCAACCAUGAUAUGAAUAGAAUCAACAAUCUCACUGAUGCCAUCUAUUGUGAAGAGCAAUCAAAUCCUAUGCAUACUCUCCCUGCAUCACGCACUACCCAAUUUGAAGACCAGGCUAAAACUGUAAGUUUAACUGGACACGAUUACCACCCACUCCAUUCGAUUCGAGUUGCAAUCCUUCCAGCUAAUUAUUUUCCAACUACACGUUAUUUUGACCUUUCCAAAGGAUCAAAAUAACAUUGUGUCAGGCACUUUACAUGUGUCAGAACAGAGAAUAGGGAAAUGCAUGACACGGAAGCCUGCUAAAUAUUGUUCAUCCUUAAAGUAUGAAAUUAUGUCCUGUCCUGCACCCAAUGUGGACGCAGCAAUGAGUCUGUUUGGAUACAUGUGCGCUGAUGACUCCACAUUGAAAAGCAUGCCGGUGAUCCAGUUUGGUAGCACACUUUAACUUGUGACAUGAUUGCACAAUCAUUUGCCGAUCGUGCAAUCCUAGACUCAACUUUUAUCACAGGAUUUGUCGUCAGAUGUCUUAGCUAUGAUGAUUAUUGGAUCAGACCUGAGUGCCAUGGCUACAUAAUUUUUUUUGAUGCUGACCUCUCAGUAAGCUUUUAUUUUGCCAUUCUUUUACACUAGAUAUAUUAAAAUUUUUCCAUUGUUUCA